rnacentral:precursor_RNA from 11 species
UUGUUUCCUUACUUUCGGGCAUCUUCUCUGUCCCUGAGACCCUUAACCUGUGAGGAAGCCCAGAGGUCACAGGUGAGGUUCUUGGGAACUGAGCGGAGAGCCACCCCACGGACCCCACGG